CUAAAGCCUUAGUAACACUGGGUGAGGAUGAUAGUCAGAGUAUACUUUAUUUCAAGCAAGGUGGAGCACUUAACACUUUGAAGUCUAAACUAGAACUUAAUAUUAGGGGCAGGGGCAAGGGUUUAUAUACAAAAUGGGAGGGCCUAUGUUGCUAACUGUCAGGCUAUCUCGGCCAAUGCACUUUCCUCAAAAGCCAGUGGUCGGAUAAAGAUCGUAAUUCUCCGAAUUGUGAUGUUUCCAGCUCGCUGAUUGGUGGGUUUUUGCAAGCUGGAUCUUUGCACUUGGCUGCAUAUGGAUUUCGCCAUAAUAACCGGUUUCCUUUGUUUGGUCCUCAAAACGUUCUGGAAUUCUAGUUUUGUUAGGGCGGCUUUACACUACGAUGGAAAACCAGGAUUGAAUCCGGUUUGAGGAUUGAAGUAGGACUAGUGCUGGGGCGAGUCCAGAAAGAAUUCGAGUCUUUUACUGUACUCAAGUUGAACAAAGAGACUCAUGUUGAUAAAUUAAAACCAAAGAAUGAGGUUUUUUUCACAAAUCCGGACUGGAGCCUAUUAGAAAGGACUUGGACUCGAGUUGGACUCGCCACAGCACUAGUCGUGCUUCCAUACUCAAACCGGAUUCAAUCCUGGCUUUCCAUCGUAGUGUAAAGCCGCCCUUAUUGUCUAGAAUAUUCUAGGAAACUGACUUCCCGAGUUCCCAGAAACGGCCGUUUCACUACACCAUGUUUUAGGGUCAAUUGAAGUGACCGUAGAGGCUUGAUGUGAGACUUGGACAAUUUCUCAAAUACAUUCCAGAUUAACCCUACACUCAAGGACUAGCUCGGUCUGCCAACUCAAAUUCGUUGGUAGACCAAAUGUCAAAUAAAGACUAAAAGACGAAGUGGUUUUGCCAGAAGGAACCGAAUGCAACAUUUAUGGAUGUGAGUUCGACUACAGCAGUAAUACCUAUCGUCUUAUGGUCAUCCUUUCGUUUCAGACGAAAACCAUCGGAGAGAAUUUCCUCAUUGUCAAGGUCGAUGGUUCGACUGGAUUUCCGAAAAUACUCUCCGUUAAAUGAUCAUUUUGACUUCCUAACUUAAAAUCACGUUCAUUUUAAUUCAAUGAAAGUUGUCUUCCUUGUGCUCAUUUAUACUAAUUUAUGCUUGACAUAUUUUUCCUUGUUCAAUAUGUUACUUCAAUGAAAUUAUUGAUCCCCUUUUGAUGUCCAAAGAGAUCAAGCCAAUAAAUGAAUCUACACAUAAUACCACUAA